rnacentral:rRNA from 1 species
AUUGGACGCUGGCGGCAGGCUUAACACAUGCAAGUCGAGCGGAGAUGAGGUGCUUGCACCUUAUCUUAGCGGCGGACGGGUGAGUAAUGCUUAGGAAUCUGCCUAUUAGUGGGGGACAACAUUCCGAAAGGAAUGCUAAUACCGCAUACGUCCUACGGGAGAAAGCAGGGGAUCUUCGGACCUUGCGCUAAUAGAUGAGCCUAAGUCGGAUUAGCUAGUUGGUGGGGUAAAGGCCUACCAAGGCGACGAUCCGUAGCGGGUCUGAGAGGAUGAUCCGCCACACUGGGACUGAGACACGGCCCAGACUCCUACGGGAGGCAGCAGUGGGGAAUAUUGGACAAUGGGGGGAACCCUGAUCCAGCCAUGCCGCGUGUGUGAAGAAGGCCUUAUGGUUGUAAAGCACUUUAAGCGAGGAGGAGGCUACUGAGACUAAUACUCUUGGAUAGUGGACGUUACUCGCAGAAUAAGCACCGGCUAACUCUGUGCCAGCCGCCGCGGUAACAC